rnacentral:rRNA from 1 species
UAUCCUAAGGCGCUUGAGAGAACUCGGGAGAAGGAACUCGGCAAAUUGACACCGUAACUUCGGAAGAAGGUGUGCCUUUAGUAGGUGAACCAUUUACUUGGGGAGCCCAAUGAGGUUGCAAAAAAUCGGUGGCUGCGACUGUUUAUUAAAAACACAGCACUCUGCAAACACGAAAGUGGACGUAUAGGGUGUGACGCCUGCCCGGUGCUGGAAGAUUAAAUGAUGGGGUGAGAGCUCUUGAUUGAAGUCCCAGUAAACGGCGGCCGUAACGAUAACGGUCCUAAGGUAGCGAAAUUCCUUGUCGGGUAAGUUCCGACCUGCACGAAUGGCGUAACGAUGGCCACACUGUCUCCUCCCGAGACUCAGCGAAGUUGAAAUGUUUGUGAUGAUGCAAUCUCCCCGCGGAAAGACGGAAAGACCCCAUGAACCUUUACUGUAGCUUUGUAUUGGACUUUGAACAGAUCUGUGUAGGAUAGGUGGGAGGCUUUGAAGCGGUGCCGCUAGGUAUCGUGGAGCCAACGUUGAAAUACCACCCUGGUGUGUUUGAGGUUCUAACCUAGAUCCAUUAUCUGGAUCGGGGACAGUGCAUGGUAGGCAGUUUGACUGGGGCAGUCUCCUCCCAAAGCGUAACGGAGGAGUUCGAAGGUACGCUAGUUACGGUCGGACAUCGUGAUGAUAGUGCAAUGGCAUAAGCGUGCUUAACUGCGAGACUGACAAGUCGAGCAGAUGCGAAAGCAGGACAUAGUGAUCCGGUGGUUCUGUAUGGAAGGGCCAUCGCUCAACGGAUAAAAGGUACUCUGGGGAUAACAGGCUGAUACCGCCCAAGAGUUCAUAUCGACGGCGGUGUUUGGCACCUCGAUGUCGGCUCAUCUCAUCCUGGGGCUGUAGCCGGUCCCAAGGGUAUGGCUGUUCGCCAUUUAAAGAGGUACGUGAGCUGGGUUUAAAACGUCGUGAGACAGUUUGGUCCCUAUCUUCCGUGGGCGCUGCAGAUUUGAGGAAGCCUGCUCCUAGUACGAGAGGACCGGAGUGGACACACCUCUGGUGUAUCGGUUGUCACGCCAGUGGCAUUGCCGAGUAGCUAUGUGUGGAAGAGAUAACCGCUGAAAGCAUCUAAGCGGGAAACUCGUUUCAAGAUGAGAUCUGCCGGGGCCUUGAGCCCCCUAAAGAGUCGUUCAAGACCAGGACGUUGAUAGGUCGGGUGUGUAAGCGUAGUAAUGCGUUGAGCUAACCGAUACUAAUUGCUCGUGCGGCUUGACCCC